GACGAACGCUGGCGGCGUGCUUAACACAUGCAAGUCGAACGGUGAUGCUCCAGCUUGCUGGCGUGGAUCAGUGGCGAACGGGUGAGUAACACGUGAGCAACCUGCCCCAGACUCUGGAAUAAGCGCUGGAAACGGCGUCUAAUACUGGAUACGAAACUGGCCCGCAUGGGCAUGGUUUGGAAAGUUUUUCGGUUUGGGAUGGGCUCGCGGCCUAUCAGCUUGUUGGUGAGGUAAUGGCUCACCAAGGCGACGACGGGUAGCCGGCCUGAGAGGGCGACCGGCCACACUGGGACUGAGACACGGCCCAGACUCCUACGGGAGGCAGCAGUGGGGAAUAUUGCACAAUGGGCGAAAGCCUGAUGCAGCGACGCCGCGUGAGGGAUGACGGCCUUCGGGUUGGAAACCUCUUUCAGCAGGGAAGAAGCGAAAGUGACGGUACCUGCAGAAGAAGCACCGGCUAACUACGU
rnacentral:rRNA from 1 species